rnacentral:rRNA from 1 species
AACUAUAACGGUCCUAAGGUAGCGAAAUUCCUUGUCGGGUAAGUUCCGACCCGCAUGAAAGGCGUAAUGAUUUGGGCACUGUCUCAACGAGGGGCCCGGUGAAAUUGAAAUACCUGUGAAGAUGCAGGUUACCCGCGACUGGACAGAAAGACCCCAUGGAGCUUCACUGCAGCUUGAGAUUGAAUCCCGGUGACAGAUGCACAGGAUAGGUGGGAGGCGCCGAAGCAUUGCCCUAGGGCGGUGCGGAGCCGAUGUUGGGAUACCACCCUUCUGUUGCUGAGAUUCUAACGCGAGGAGUAACGACCCUGCGGACCCUCUCAGGCAGGCGGUUUGACUGGGGCGGUCGCCUCCGAAAGAGUAACGGAGGCGCCCAAAGGUUCCCUCAGGCCGGACAGAAACCGGCCGAAGAGUGCAAAGGCAGAAGGGAGCUUGACUGCGAGACCAACAAGUCGAGCAGAGACGAAAGUCGGGCUUAGUGAUCCGGUGGUACUGAGUGGAAAGGCCAUCGCUCAACGGAUAAAAGCUACCCUGGGGAUAACAGGCUAAUCUCUCCCAAGAGUUCAUAUCGACGGGGAGGUUUGGCACCUCGAUGUCGGCUCAUCACAUCCUGGGGCUGGAGUAGGUCCCAAGGGUUGGGCUGUUCGCCCAUUAAAGUGGUACGCGAGCUGGGUUCAGAACGUCGUGAGACAGUUCGGUCCCUAUCCGUCGCAGGCGUAGGAAAUUUGAGGAGACCUGUCCUUAGUACGAGAGGACCGGGAUGGACGUACCGCUGGUGUACCAGUUGUUCUGCCAAGGGCAUGGCUGGGUAGCUAAGUACGGAAAGGAUAAGCGCUGAAAGCAUCUAAGCGCGAAGCCCACUUCAAGAUAAGAUUUCCCACCGCAAGGUUAAGAUCCCAGGAAGACUACCUGGUUGAUAGGUCAGAGGUGUAAGUGCAGUAAUGUAUUUAGCUUACUGAUACUAAUAGAUCGAGGACUUGACCAA